rnacentral:rRNA from 1 species
CUCCCAAACCCCUGUGAACAUACCAAUUGUUGCCUCGGCGGAUCAGCCCGCUCCCGGUAAAACGGGACGGCCCGCCAGAGGACCCCUAAACUCUGUUUCUAUAUGUAACUUCUGAGUAAAACCAUAAAUAAAUCAAAACUUUCAACAACGGAUCUCUUGGUUCUGGCAUCGAUGAAGAACGCAGCAAAAUGCGAUAAGUAAUGUGAAUUGCAGAAUUCAGUGAAUCAUCGAAUCUUUGAACGCACAUUGCGCCCGCCAGUAUUCUGGCGGGCAUGCCUGUUCGAGCGUCAUUUCAACCCUCAAGCCCUCGGGUUUGGUGUUGGGGAUCGGCGAGCCCUUGCGGCAAGCCGGCCCCGAAAUAUAGUGGCGGUCUCGCUGCAGCUUCCAUUGCGUAGUAGUAAAACCCUCGCAACUGGUACGCGGCGCGGCCAAGCCGUUAAACCCCCAACUUCUGAAUGUUGACCUCGGAUCAGGUAGGAAUACCCGCUGAACUUAAGCAU